rnacentral:rRNA from 1 species
AACCUCUGACGGUACCUGAGGAAUCAGCCUCGGCUAGGUCCGGGGGGGCAGCCGCGGUAAUACGGAGGAGGCAACCCUUAUCCGGAAUUAUUGGGCGUAAAGCGUCCGCAGGUGGCUUAUCAAGUCUGCUGUCAAAGCCCGAAGCUCAACUUUGGAGAGGCAGUGUAAACUGGUCAGCUAGAGAACGGUUGGGGUAGAGGGAAUUCCCAGUGUAGCGGUGAAAUGCGUAGAGAUUGGGAAGAACACCGGUGGCGAAGGCGCUCUACUGGACCGUAUUUGACACUCAGGGACGAAAGCUAGGGUAGCGAAUGGGAUUAGAUACCC